GAUAUUCCUGUACCACCUCUUUAUCGUUUGAGCAAUGGAGGGACGCAGAAGGAUAGAAGAAGCGUGCGAUUGGUUGUGCACGUCCAAGCAGUUAGGCUGAUAAGUAGGCAAAUCCGCUUAUCGCGUAUGCUGAGCUGUGAUGGGGAAGCUCCUUAUGGAGCGAAGUCUUUGAUUCCCCGCUGCCAAGAAAAGCUUCUAGCGAGAUAAAAGGUGCCUGUACCGCAAACCGACACAGGUAGGCGAGGAGAGAAUCCU
rnacentral:rRNA from 1 species